GAAUUUUUAGACGCCAAAUGAAUUGAAAUAUCACGACCAAGUGUGCAGAAGUGUAAUCGUCAUGUAAUCGUUGCUUCAUGACGAUAACUAUGACUCAACUAUGAUUGGACGACCAAUGAGCAGAAAGCCUAAGUAAACUAAUUUGCAUUUU